rnacentral:tRNA from 1 species
CUCCCUGUAGUAAAAUGGAUAUUACAAGCCCCUCCUAAGGGCUAGUUCCAGGUUCGAUUCCUGGUGGGGAGGCCA